rnacentral:rRNA from 1 species
AUUGAACGCUGGCGGCAGGCUUAACACAUGCAAGUCGAACGAUUGGCGGACGGUUGAUUAAUGCUUGGGAAUCUAGCUUAUGGAGGGGGAUAACUACUGGAAACGUUAGUUAAUACCGCAUACCAUUAGAUGUGCCCAGAUGGGAUUAGCUAGUCGCUGGGGUAAUGGAUCACCUAGGCGACGCUCCCUAGCUGGUCUGAGAGGAGUACCAGUCACACUGGAACUGAAACACGGGCCAGAAUCCUACGGGAGUGAGCAGUGGGGAAGAGUGCACAAUGGGCGCAAGCCUGAUGCAGCCAUGCCGCGUGUGUGAAGAAGGCCUUAGGGUUGUAAAGCACUUUCAGCGAGGAGGCGUUACUCGCAGAAGAAGCACCGGCUAACUCCAUGCCAGCAGCCGCGGUAAUUC